rnacentral:rRNA from 1 species
UACAGAGGUCUCAAGCGUUGUUCGGAUUCAUUGGGCGUAAAGGGUGCGUAGGCGGCGCGGUAAGUCGGGUGUGAAAUCUCGGAGCUUAACUCCGAAACUGCAUUCGAUACUGUCGGACUAGAGUCCGGAAGAGGCAAGUGGAAUUCCCGGUGUAGCGGUGAAAUGCGCAGAUAUCGGGAGGAACACCAAUGGCGAAGGCAGCUUGCUGGGACGGUACUGA